CGCCGGCCCCGCCCGCACUUACGUGGGCCCGACCAGCAGCCGGACGGGCGGCGAAGGCAGCGGGUGCCCGGCUUGGCGGGAACCGGUGCGCUGGCGGCGCGGGGCGGCUGAGGAGAGAAAGUCUGGGCUCCAGAUACAGGGAUGCCGCCCACCCAACCUCCUUUUUAAGACCAGGAGCCAGGCCCCACCUCGCUGUGGUAACUGACACUGGGAGCUGACUGAACUCGCCUGCAAGCUCAGGAUUCAACCCAGAGGCCGGCGAGGCAGAAGAGGCCAUCAGACCAGACCUGAAGGCAGAGACGUCAGGAGCCUGGAGGCCCUUUGCUAUGGAAGACGAGGAGCAUCCUGGAGGAAGAAGAGUUAGGAGCGUGGCUGCAUCCAGGCUCUCCUGUGACCUAGGGAGCCCAUGACCUCUAUUCUGCUGUUUACGCAGUACAAACUGUGGGCAUUCACACGACUGCCUACCUGCUCACCGGGUUAUUUAUAGUGAGAGGAAAGUAAGACAGUGGGCUUGAAAAUACUUUCCAAACCAAAGCUCUGUACCCGUAUAGAUGGAUUCACUGUCUGGCAAAGGCAAGGGAGUCAUUUUGAUGUGUCUCCACUCUUAGAUUGAUCUUGUUUGGACUGAGAUGCGGUUCUCUAACCUAGGGUGAAAUUUAUAGCGACCCUCAACAGGUUUAUCAUACAUUAAGUAUCUGAAAGUAUCUGACUCUCACAUUCUGGCCCUCACAAGUAGUCUGUGGUCAGUCUGCUUCCAACAAUACUGGUUUUAAAGGGUGUAAAUCAAAGUGCGGGGGAUUGUCUGAUACCCAGAAGUAAUAACCAAAAUUCGGGGGCCAUUUGACUUUUUCUCAGAAAGUAGACCAAACGUUUAACUUGGAUUUUAGGUUUUGGCUAAUCCUAGUAUUUUCUCUCAAAUGUCACUGCUACAUUAGGAGCCCCAUAGUCUCUUGUUUCUUCUUAGCAAUUCGUGAAGAGACCAUCUUCCCAUUCAGAACCCAGGCAUGAUGAUAAUUUUAAGGAUCUAAUUUUUAAGAGGUCACAUUGAGACCUACCUUUUUCCAACUUGAUAAAAUUUAUCACCAUUAAAGACAAUGUGAAAGCAUACAAUGCCUUGUUAUGACAGAGAAAACAAUGUGAGGUAGAUGAUUCCAAAGAUGGUCACAACAAUAUCACCAUCAUGAAGUGAAGUCUAUUUUUUUCUUCCCGUUGAAUCUGGGCUGGCCCUGUAACUGCUUUGACCUAUAGAAUGUGGCAGAAAUAAUGUUUGAGGUCUCCCAAGACCAGACAUUAAGCAAGCCUGAAAGCUUCUGCUUUGCAGUCUGGGGAAAGCCAGCCACCACAUAAGAAGAGCCCACCAUGUUGUGAGGAAGUCCAAGCUAUGUGGAGGGACCACGUGGAAAGAGAGAGAUGCCUGACUAGCCCCUAGAUGUUCAGCCUGUCUCAGCUGAGGUACCAGGCUUGUGAGUGAAAAAGCCCUCCAGGAAGGUUCAAGCCCAGCAGACACCACAUGGAACAGAGAUGAGCCAUCCUCACUGAGCCCCGCCAAAACUGCAGAAUUGUGAGCAGAUAAAUGAUUGUUGUUUUCAGGCACUAAAUGUUGGGGGUGGGGGUGGUUUAAAAGCAGCAAUAGGACACCAAAACACAAAGCAAAACAAGAGAAAGGCCCAUAGCAUACAGAUCAACCUUCUGUAAACUUCACAAAGCAGAGUUUUGGGGAUAAUUUUGUUAUCUUAUCUCAGGAGUCAUUUGCUUUCUGUUUACUCUCUUGCUGAUUUAUAAUCGUCCCACCUGGUGCUUGUUUAUCCCAGUGUUAUACCAAGGGUGGGAGGAGGGGGCGUGGGAGAAGUCUGCUUCUAGGAGGGAGGAGUAUUUUAUCACUGUACAUUGUUUGGAACUGUUGGAGCAUGAAAAUAAUAAAAAGCAAACUGAAUUUUA